rnacentral:rRNA from 1 species
UACGUAGGAGGCAAGCGUUGUCCGGAAUUACUGGGUGUAAAGCGCGUGUAGGUGGGAGGCCAAGUCUGUGGUGAAAGCGCCCGGCUCGAACUGGGCAGAGUCCAUGGAAACUGGUCACCUGGAGGACGGUAGAGGCGAGUGGAAUUCCCGGUGUAGUGGUGAAAUGCGUAGAGAUCGGGAGGAACACCAGUGGCGAAGGCGGCUCGCUGGCCGGUCCGUGACACUGAGACGCGAAGGCGUGGGGAGCGAACGGG